rnacentral:rRNA from 1 species
UACGGGGGGGAGCAAGCGUUGUUCGGAUUUACUGGGCGUAAAGGGCGCGUAGGCGGCGUGACAAGUCACUUGUGAAAUCUCCGGGCUUAACUCGGAACGGUCAAGUGAUACUGUCGUGCUAGAGUACAGAAGGGGCAACUGGAAUUCUCGGUGUAGCGGUGAAAUGCGUAGAUAUCGAGAGGAACACCUGCGGCGAAGGCGGGUUGCUGGGCUGACACUGACGCUGAGGCGCGAAAGCUAGGGGAGCGAACGGG